GAUAGCAGCCGGACCUGUUACCACUGCAACCAACCCUGGAGUAAAGCGACCCUCACAGACCCCUGCUUUCACCACUGCAUCUGUCAUUGAGCAGAACUCAGAUGAAGAACCCACAAGUGUCUCCAAGUACUUCUUCAGUGACAUCUUUACUGAAGUUGAUGAAUUAGAAGACAUGGAUUAAGGCCAAAGGUUGGAAUAACAAACCAGUCACAACUAACUAAAUAGUCAGAAAUAUAGUUUGACAAGUCGGGUGUAUAGACGUGUGAAUAUUUGAAGUUUUUCCCAGGACACUUUUACCAAGAGGAACCACAACUGAAGAGAUGCAGCGAAAACGUACCUCAGUAACAGCUGACAUAAUUUAUUUUAUGUUAUUAUAAUUUUAUUUAAGGAUAAAUAAGUAAUAAUUCAGUUAUGUUUUUGAUACUGUUGCGCUCUUUUGUUAUGUAAAGUUGUAUUAUAAUUCAUGUCUGAUCUGAGCCUAACUGAUUAUUGUUUUUUGUUGGUUUCGACCUGCAUUUUAUUUCCAGUUAUGAAUAAGAAACACGUUCAUUUCUCUCAGUCAUUUCUCUUGCAUCAAUUGCUAAUGUUUUUUUUUUAAUCAGAGAAUGACGUUUUCUGAAA